rfam:Paenisporosarcina sp. HGH0030 genomic scaffold acAqH-supercont1.1, whole genome shotgun sequence.
AACACCUUUAAAAACAGUCCAGAGAGGCUGAGAAGGUAACAGUGAACGUAUAUAAACACAUGCUGUGUGUUACUAUACGCCUAAUUUUCUGCAUUCACACCCUCUCAUCCAUUUUCGGACGAGAGGGUUUUUAUU